UGGAGCCCAACUCCCCUCGGAGAUGGUCAUCACUGUCCCAUGCCGGCCACUUUCCAUCUUGCCCCAGACAAUGAGCCUUAAGCUCUGGGCUGCACUGACCCAGGGCAGGAUGUGUGAAGAGCCAAGCUCCAACCGCC
rnacentral:lncRNA from 1 species